GAGCUUGCUCUUGGGGAUUAGUGGCGAACGGGUGAGUAACACGUGAGUAACCUGCCCUUGACUCUGGGAUAAGCGUUGGAAACGACGUCUAAUACCGGAUACGAGCUUCCACCGCAUGGUGAGUUGCUGGAAAGAAUUUUGGUCAAGGAUGGACUCGCGGCCUAUCAGCUUGUUGGUGAGGUAACGGCUCACCAAGGCGACGACGGGUAGCCGGCCUGAGAGGGUGACCGGCCACACUGGGACUGAGACACGGCCCAGACUCCUACGGGAGGCAGCAGUGGGGAAUAUUGCACAAUGGGCGAAAGCCUGAUGCAGCAACGCCGCGUGAGGGACGACGGCCUUCGGGUUGUAAACCUCUUUUAGCAGGGAAGAAGCGAAAGUGACGGUACCUGCAGAAAAAGCACCGGCUAACUACGUGCCAGCAGCCGCGGUAAUACGUAGGGUGCAAGCGUUGUCCGGAAUUAUUGGGCGUAAAGAGCUCGUAGGCGGUUUGUCGCGUCUGCUGUGAAAUCCCGAGGCUCAACCUCGGGUCUGCAGUGGGUACGGGCAGACUAGAGUGCGGUAGGGGAGAUUGGAAUUCCUGGUGUAGCGGUGGAAUGCGCAGAUAUCAGGAGGAACACCGAUGGCGAAGGCAGAUCUCUGGGCCGCUACUGACGCUGAGGAGCGAAAGGGUGGGGAGCAAACAGGCUUAGAUACCCUGG
rnacentral:rRNA from 1 species